rnacentral:rRNA from 1 species
UACGGAGGGGGCUAGCGUUGUUCGGAAUUACUGGGCGGAAAGCGCACGUAGGCGGCUUGGUAAGUUAGAGGUGAAAGCCUGGAGCUCAACUCCAGAAUUGCCUUUAAGACUGCCGAGCUAGCAGGUGAGAGAGGUGAGUGGAAUUCCGAGUGUAGAGGUGAAAUUCGUAGAUAUUCGGAAGAACACCAGUGGCGAAGGCGGCUCACUGGCUCAUACUGGACGCUGAGGUGCGAAAGCGUGGGGAGCAAACAGG